UUUCACAGAUGUUUAUUUUGGUUCAAAUUUUCUUUUCAUUUCUUUCAAAACAUUAUUUUCAGCCUCUUUUAUUAUCUCCAAGUGUACUGAUGCCAUAUCCUUUGAAGCUUUCUAUACUCCCUAUAUUUUCUCUGUCCUGUCUGAAUUCCUUUCUUUUGCUUGCUUAAUUUGGUGGCUCUCAUGUUUAGUGUUCUACUCAGUUGUCUGGUCAUCCUUGAGUCCUGCCUGUGGUUAAAGUCUGUUACAUGUAUUGGGAGCUUGCUGACAAAUAUGAAAUGGGAAGAAGUAAAGUGAAGAGUCUGACAGGAGAAAGAAGAAAGUGGGAAAUGAGUUGCAUUUUGUCCCUCUGUGGACAGUUCUGGUGAGAGCGCAUCUUCCUAAGAUCAUGAGGAUUGCUGCAGUGUGCUAAAUGAGGGUAGAGAAUUUCAAAUCCACAAGCACAUUCACAGUCAUCGCCCUGACAGAGCAGCAGCUGGCCUUCAUGGCCUAAAGUAGAAAGGUCUACCAAGGUCUCCUAGGCCUGGGUUGAUGCCGGAGGAUGAGACCUUCCUGAAAGAACUGCCAGAGCAGGUGACAGAUCUUGAUGGGAUAAUGAGCCUCUGAGCCUCGGCCAGAGUUUGCUUACAUGGUUCUGCUGACAGCCUGACUAUACAUUCAAACCUGGCCACUCUCCCAAACAACUGUGAUACUCUUCCUGGACCCUGUCUGUGCCUAGACAAACCUAUGAUUGAUCACUGUCUACUGAGGCUGUCUCCUGCCUGCAGUUUGCCUGGCUCUGACAUUUAUCCUCUGGAUGCCACUCUUAUGAGCUGGAGGCUGCCCAGACCUGGCAGAUGCUGCCUUGUCACACUUCUCUCCUGGUCUUGCUCACAGCCUCACCUGUGCCAGCCUGCUGUGAUGGAUUAGAGCUGCUACCUUUGGCUUUUUCCUAGGAUCUAGCCUCAUUCUCAUUAAAGUCAUUCAUAAGCAA